UUCAAAUUAUAAGAGUUAUACAGCAAACCGAAGGUGCUUUGUGACUUCCACUCUUCGAUUUGGUUCAAAGUAAGCUUAAUUUCAUUAUUUAUUUUUUCAAAAUAUUUAUUAUUUUCCCAAAUGUGUUUUGAGAUCGCGUAAAUUCUCCUUCUUAUCCGUGUUGUCUCCGUGUUGCAGAUCGGAUUCCCCCCCCCCCCCCAAAUGUAUGUUAGAUUUAGUUGUUGUUUCUUUUGGAUUUAUUUUCUUGAUUGGUAUAUAGGUUUAAGCUUUACUAAAUUGUUAAUAAUGGUGUAAAUCAAUGAUAAUCUUUUGAUUAUGUCUUUAUGUUAUAAUCUUUUGAUUACUGAGUUGCUCCUGUUUUAAUGCACUUAUUGUUGUUUUGUUGGAUUUUCUUAUGUUCAGUUGCACUCAAUACGUAUACCCUGAGUCUAUCUAAUAGACGUACACUAUGAAUGAAUCGCUUCUGUUUGAGUUGAUUGUAUUUCUUUAUUCUCUCUUUAGCUGGAGAUUCUUUUGGUUUCAUAUAUGGUGUUUGGACACCCUGGAAAAAACAUACGAAGAUGUCAUGAAUCUCUUAGCUUUUUUGAGUUUUAUUCUGCUGGAUCUCAUGCUUCUUAAACCCUCCAUUUGUCAUUUAUAUAUGCACUUGCGUGCUUAGUUUUAUUUCAUGCCUUUGAUUAGUGGCAGCAUCAACUUUUUGAUGAGUAAAGAGGUAACUUUUUACUUUUGAUUGAUGAAUGAGCUUUUUGCUUAUUGUGUUUCGUUAGGAAUUGUAUAUCAAUUUAAUCUAAUCCUUUUUUUUCGGGUGCAAAAUGGAAAUAUGAACGACAAUUGAAGGCAUACAACAAAAAACUGGUAAUGAUAUUGUUCACUAUUAUUUCUGAGUGCUGAGUGGCAUUUGUCGAUUGUAAUAGGCUAGCAAGGAAGAUGAGGAGUCGGACAAGUCCAAAUCCGAGGUGAAUGAUGAGGAGGGGAGCGGGGAGGUUAGCGUAAGUGAAGCUCGAUUUAUUCAUUCAUCUUUUGUGAAGAAUUUUGGGCAAAUUUUGGUAACAAGAAGCCAGCUUUUGUUUUAAAAUGUCGUGCAGGAGGAAGAAGAAGAUGACGACUGAGUAAAUUUUGAAUUCGAUGAUGAAGAUGUUUGGUUACAGUCGUAAUAUGUUAUAUAUCUACUGUAUAUGAAAUUCUUCUUCUCCACAACAUGAAUAGGGCCAAUCUUUUAGUGUUAUCCACUGAUGCAGAGUUUCGAAUUUUUUUUUGAAUUGCUGUGGAAGCCAUUUUCAAGCAUUAUAAUUGAUACUUUUUGGAGCCAUUUAUGAUCUGCCUUUAUUUUCUCCACUCCCUUUCUGAUCUACCUAUGUUACACAACACAUGGCCUUUUAUAAAUGAAAGGCCCUUUAUAAGUUUUGUAUUUAUUAAUUCAUAUUUUAUAAAGUAUAUGCUUCAUUAUAUACUAAUGUUGUGACACACUUUGAUUGCUUAACAAUUUUACAGGACUGUGAGAUCACAUGGUGAUUCAAUUUCAGAAGCCAAAACAACAAAUUUCAGAAGCCAAAACAGCAGAUGAAAAAGUUCAGUCCCCAUCCUCAAAGUAAGCAAAUCAUUAUCUUAGAUUUUAAGAUGAGGAUGUGAUGCGCUGCAUAUACUGGGAAUGUUAAUAGUGGGUGAUUUUUAUUGGUUAAUUACCAAACUGUAGAAGAGGUUAUAUGAUUUGGAUUUUGAGGUGAUGUUAUAUUGUUUAAUUUUUCGGAACAAAUAUGUGAGUUUUAUUUCUAUUUACAUUCUUGAGAAAUCUGUUUUCAAAUUUUGCAUAUUAUGUGUUUGACAAAAUGCUUGAUAGAACCCUGCGAAUUUUUCUUUACAUUCUUGAGAUUGUCUCUUGCUGAUUCUUUUCUUCUUUUUUUGUUGCAGGGAUUAAAGUAGAAUCUAUAACUAUAUUACUCCAUGUAAUAUGAUUGCAAAUAAUAAACGUUAAACAUAAUUUUUUUAUUCAUGUUAUUAUUUAUUUAUACAAUGAUGUCUACAAUUUCAGAACCCCAUAUAAAGACGUCAAGUUGUAACCUUCUGUUUUAUACCCUUUUUCUCCAUCGGUUCCCAUAUUUUUCUUCCCUCUAUUUUGUAUGCUUACUGUGAAAAAGGGACUUUUGUGAUGUUAUCUAUUUGGCAACUUAUGUUCUGGGGUUAAUGUGGGUUAAUGUAGUUUUGGAUAUUUGUACAUGCGGUGAGUCAAGUAAUUUAUUUCGGAUCCGAGGUUGUGAACCUCGAUGCUUAAUAUCUCAGUGAUCUCACCAAUACGACAAUGAACUAACGAACAUAUAUUGCAAAUAAUAAUCGUUAAACAUAAGAG
rnacentral:lncRNA from 1 species